AACGUAGGUGGCAAGCGUUAUCCGGAUUUACUGGGCGUAAAGGGUGUGCAGGCGGGCGGUCAAGUGGUGUAUGAAAUCGCCCGGCUUAACCGGGCGGGGUUAUGCCAGACUGACGGUCUAGAGUGCGGGAGAGGGACGUGGAAUUCCGGGUGUAGUGGUGAAAUGCGUAGAGAUCCGGAGGAACCCCAGAGGCGAAGGCGGCGUCCUGGCCCGACACUGACGCUCAGACACGACAGCAUGGGGAGCGAACGGG
rnacentral:rRNA from 1 species